rnacentral:rRNA from 1 species
UACGGAGGGUGCAAGCGUUAAUCGGAAUUACUGGGCGUAAAGCGCGCGUAGGUGGUUGAAUAAGUCGAUUGUGAAAUCCCCGGGCUUAACCUGGGAAUUGCAUUCGAUACUGUUCAGCUAGAGUGUGGUAGAGGGAAGCGGAAUUCCCGGUGUAGCGGUGAAAUGCGCAGAUAUCGGGAAGAACACCCGUGGCUAAGGCGGCUCUCUAGUACGGUACUGACGCUGAGACGCGAAAGCGUGGGGAGCGAACAGG